GAUGAAGAACGUAGCGAAAUGCGAUAAGUAAUGUGAAUUGCAGAAUUCAGUGAAUCAUCGAAUCUUUGAACGCACAUUGCGCCCCUUGGUAUUCCGAGGGGCAUGCCUGUUCGAGCGUCAUAUUAACCACUCCCGCUUGCGGGGUCUUGGGCUUCGCCUCCGGGCGGGCCUUAAAAUCAGUGGCGGUGCCGUCGGGCUCUACGCGUAGUAAAUUUUCUCGCGAUAGGUUCCCGGUGGAUGCUUGCCAACAACCCCCAACUUCUUAAGGUUGACCUCGGAUCAGGUAGGGAUACCCGCUGAACUUAAGCAUAUCAAUAAGCGGAGGA
rnacentral:misc_RNA from 1 species